GGGGCUGUAGCUCAGGGGUUAGAGUGUCUCCUUCGCAUGUGCGCCUCGACGACGCGAAACAUACGAAGAAGAUUUCCUUCUUGAACGGAUUUUAAGAGGAGAAGGUCCGGGGUUCAAAUCCCCGCUGCUCCA